GGCCCUAUCGUCUAGUGGUCUAGGACACCAGAUUCUCAAUCUGGGAACACGGGUUCGAUCCCCGUUAGGGCUGCCA
rnacentral:tRNA from 1 species